CGGGAAGUGGCGCAGCCUGGUAGCGCAUCUGCUUUGGGAGCAGAGGGUCGGAGGUUCAAAUCCUCUCUUCCCGACCA
rnacentral:tRNA from 1 species